rnacentral:rRNA from 1 species
UACAGAGGGUGCGAGCGUUAAUCGGAAUUACUGGGCGUAAAGCGUGCGCAGACGGUCACGUAAGUCGGGUGUGAAAGCCCCCGGGCUCAACCUGGGAAUUGCAUUCGAGACUGCGUGGCUAGGGUGCGGAAGAGGGAAGCGGAAUUUCCGGUGUAGCGGUGAAAUGCGUAGAUAUCGGAAGGAACACCAGUGGCGAAAGCGGCUUCCUGGUCCAGCACCGACGUUCAGGCACGAAAGCGUGGG